rnacentral:lncRNA from 1 species
CCUUUCAUCCAGUCCUUUUCAUUGAGUUGUUCAUAAUUGAUUUGGUUAUUUGGGACACUUCCGCACACGGUCAUCGGUCGACGAAACCGAUUUAGUAGAUGUGUUAAAAUAUGAAAUUUAUCAAGGAGGUCGAAACUGUAACAAUAUUAAACGAAAUGGUAUUGCGUCGCAUAAUCUUGUUGAACAAGAUCUUGAUGUCUUUUACCUCAU